rnacentral:misc_RNA from 1 species
UCCUGUGACAUCCUGACCAU